rnacentral:rRNA from 1 species
AUUGAACGCUGGCGGCAUGCCUUACACAUGCAAGUCGAACGGCAGCGCGGGUUUCGGCCUGGCGGCGAGUGGCGAACGGGUGAGUAACAUAUCGGAACGUGCCCUAGAGUGGGGGAUAACUAGUCGAAAGACUAGCUAAUACCGCAUACGAUCUAAGGAUGAAAGUGGGGGAUCGCAAGACCUCAUGCUCGUGGAGCGGCCGAUAUCUGAUUAGCUAGUUGGUGGGGUAAAAGCCCACCAAGGCGACGAUCAGUAGCCGGUCUGAGAGGACGACCAGCCACACUGGGACUGAGACACGGCCCAGACUCCUACGGGAGGCAGCAGUGGGGAAUUUUGGACAAUGGGGGCAACCCUGAUCCAGCAAUGCCGCGUGUGUGAAGAAGGCCUUCGGGUUGUAAAGCACUUUUGUUCGGGAAGAAAUCGUCUGGGCGAAUACCCUGGAUGGAUGACGGUACCGGAAGAAUAAGCACCGGCUAACUACGUGCCAGCCGCCGCUGUAACAC